rnacentral:rRNA from 1 species
GAUGAACGCUGGCGGCGUGCCUAAUACAUGCAAGUCGAGCGAACAGGCGAGGAGCUUGCUCCUCUGACGUUAGCGGCGGACGGGUGAGUAACACGUGGAUAACCUACCUAUAAGACUGGGAUAACUUCGGGAAACCGGAGCUAAUACCGGAUAAUAUAUUGAACCGCAUGGUUCAAUAGUGAAAGACGGUUUUGCUGUCACUUAUAGAUGGAUCCGCGCCGCAUUAGCUAGUUGGUAAGGUAACGGCUUACCAAGGCAACGAUGCGUAGCCGACCUGAGAGGGUGAUCGGCCACACUGGAACUGAGACACGGUCCAGACUCCUACGGGAGGCAGCAGUAGGGAAUCUUCCGCAAUGGGCGAAAGCUUGACGGAGCAACGCCGCGUGAGUGAUGAAGGUCUUCGGAUCGUAAAACUCUGUUAUGAGGGAAGAACAAAUGUGUAAGUAACUAUGCACGUCUUGACGGUACCUAAUCAGAAAGCCACGGCUAACUACGUG